UUUCUUCCCAUAGUGCAGUAAAAACUAAAUGCAAAUAAUGAAAAUGUGGUACAGAGAAAGCUGUGGUUGUGUAGCUCAGCGUCUAUGUGGAGUAUGCCUUCUUGCAGCUGCAUAAACAUAUUUUGUGUAUGUUGUAGAGUCUCUUUGACUCAGUACACAAACAAAUACACAUUAUCUUAAGUCAGGAACAAGUGCUCACUUCAAGUUUUUAUUAAAACUGAACAUAGGGAAGUAUUCAAACAUACUUCCGGUAGAGAAUGAAGCUGAUGUAUUUUUAGGAUCAUCUGGUUUGACAGUAUUUCAGAAUAUCAGUUAACCCUUUUAAGUAUACAUUCACCAGAACAUGAAAGUGAGCAAGCACUUUGUUAUUCAGCCAACAACAACUAAAUCAUCACCAACAAACUGGUAGGUUGGAACCUCCAGGUUAUAGGGGGCAGGACCUUUCCUGAUUCUGCCAGAGGCAUCAUAAUGGGACCCAUGGCACGGGCAGUAAUAACCACCAAAAUCUCCAGAGUUAGCAAUUGGUACACAACCAAGAUGAGUGCAGACUCCUACUAAUAUGACCCAUUCCGGUUUCUUUACUCUGUCUAAAUCGUGCUGUGGAUCUCUCAGCUUAGACACAUCAACUUCAGCUUCCUGGUUAAUCUCUGCUUGGGUUCUGUGACGCACAAAGAGGGGUUUCCCUCUCCACUUGAAAGCCACGUUUUUGCCUUCAGGAAUGUCAGAUAGCUUGAUCUCAAUCUUUGACAAUGCUAGCACAUCAGCAGAAGCACUGAGGCUGGAAAUAAACUGGGUGACAACAUUCUUAGCAGCAUAUGCAGUAGCUACGCAUGCUGUUGCAGUCACCAGGUAGGAAAACCCUUUUCUAUCUUCACUGCUGGUUUGAGAAGACGUUGUGGCAUCCAUCACAUCUUCACGACGGUAGGCAGAGAAGUCAGGGACCGUGACAUCAUUGUGGACGUAACGCACACUGGCAGGUGCGUUGAGGCUGAUGCCGGCGACGAGAUCCCGCCGCGCCGAGCGGCCGCUCAUCGACUCCCGACACAGCAGCGGUCGCUUCAGGUCCAGCACCACCUUCUCGGCCCGCAGCGCCGCCGGCGCCAGCGCCUUGAGCGGGCCGGGCACGGCGUGCGCCGCGGCCGACAGGUAGGGCGCGAAGGGCCCGGAGCGGGCGGCCACGGACAACAUGGCGGGUGCGGGUGCGCCGGUCACCGCCGCGACCUUCCCGGCGGCUGCGGCUGCGUGUUGACGUCACCCGCGGGCGGAUGAGCGCGAUGGCGUCACUACAGCGCCGUAGGGUCGCAGCAAACGGACGUCAUAGCCCUGAGGGGGCGGGGGGACGCGCUGAGGGCGAUCUUAGGCCCCGCCCUGAUGUGUGGCGGCGGGAGGGCGGGUUUGAGCCUGUGGGGGGAUCGCCGUGUUGCUGCUUGUGGAACCGCGUGCUGUGACGCUGGGCUGGGUGGCUGUGGUGCGGCCUGUAGGCGGUGGGGCACGUUGGCAGACACGUACACAGCCACAGCGUUUUCCUUUCAGCGAUUACGGCGUGUCUCUGUAUCAGGAAUUGUCAGAAUUAAUCUGAAAUGAUUGCUGGAAAUACAUUUUGCUCCUCAGAUCCCAAACUACCCUUGUCACACGGGCUGGGGUGCAAGCACAGGAAUCCCAUUUUCGCUGUCACUCGGACUGGUUUCGUUCAGCCAUAUAGUGGUAUGGGAUGUUGCUGCACUGCAGCACCCGCUGCCCCGUGCAGUUAGCUUCAGAAAAUGCUUGGACUGCCCUAAAAAGUAAUUUGAAACAAAACAAUGCUGCCAUCACCUUCUUUCCCCAUGCACAGGCACAUGGUAUCCUCCGGGUGAGUUAAAAGCAAAUCCACUCCGAAGGCUGUUCUGGAGGUGAGCGUUCAUAAAAUGGCGGCUGCAGGCUGCUCACGCGGUGGGAGGGCAGCUCUUCAGAGUGCUCUGGUAGUCUCCUUCUGCGACCUCCAAGGAAGCUGCUGGCUGGCUGCGAUCGCAGGGCUGCAGCUGGGAUGUACCACAGCACUGCGUACUGACUGGGGGUGCAUUCUCACCCAAAACGUGUUUGGGUUAAUUGCAUGGAUGAGAGGAAAACAAAUGUAUCAUACAGAUAAUUCUGGACUAACGGAGAUAUCAAUUCUUUCACUAACAACUAGAGUAAAUAAUUAAAUAUUUAAACAACAACAACAACAACAAACAAGCAAAAAAAAACAACUUUAUAGUGCCAACCUUGAACUUGAGGUGUCACAGCUUCCAAUCACAGGAUUCAGCUCAAAUUCUGGGUGAGCGUGCCAGUAGGUGCAGCCCUGCUCUAGCCAAGCUUACACCAUUUCUAGAAUGCUAACUGCAGUUUCUCACCUAGCCUAUAGGGUCCAUUCAUAGCAUCACAGGAUCAUUAAGGUUGGAAAAAACCACUAAGAUCAUGUAGUCCAACCAUCGGCCCAUCACCACCAUACCACUAAACCACGUCCCUCAGUGCCACAUCUGCCCCUUUCUUGGAAGUCUCCAAGGACAGUGACUCCACCACCUUGUUGGGCAGCCUGUUCCAGUGCUGUACCACUCUGUCUGAGAACAUUUUCCUAAUACCCAACCUGAAAUAUUCAUCCAAGGCUGUGAAGCUUUAGUGUUUCAUACUGGCUUGAUCAGGAGGUUCUGUUCCGAAAUUCUGCUGUUGCUAACGAUGCUACAGCUAAAUUACUCGAUGAUCGUGCAUUUUAAAAACUGUCUGGGUGGAUUGGUAGCUUAGGGACUGGCUCUAUGGAGAUUUAUGCAAGGGUGUGACUUUUUCAUAGAAGUAAUUCACUGAGUCUUUUAAUCUGGUGUCUGAAAUGUACUGAAAUAUGGUUGUUCUAAUUAAGUGGGAUGGAUCAUUCCUGUUCCAGUAGUAUUGAUCUAUAAUUUAUUUCUUUUCCAGCAAGUUUUUCACAUCGAAGCCUAGGUAUAUAAUGAUUUACCCAACUAAGUGCACUGUGCUGGUGGUAACUGUAGUUGCGAAAUAGUAAUUAUAGAACAAUGUAGUAUUAUUCCGGGGGAAAGAUAAUAUGUAGAAGCCACUGUGGCUGCAGAUCAAUGUACAAGAGGAAAUAAACGAUUUUCAAACAGGAAAGAGAACAUUAGAAAGGACCCACAUGUCUGCUAUUCUAAGAGGACAAGUUUUAGAAACAUCAUUUCACAGGAAAAGACCUACAGAAACAUGAUCUUAUUUUCUGUUCUCUAUCAGAUUACAAAGUUCUCGUAAUCGUAAUAAAUACUUGAUCAGAACCACACUAGUAAUAACAGGCCAAAAUGAAGUUCUUCUAAGGCCAUCAGAUUUUAAUGCGUUCUCUGCAUAAUUGGUUUUUUACUACGAGACUGAGUUUCUGACCUAGGGCUUGUAGAAAGGUUUGUUACCAGUUGUGGGGUUUUCUGCGUUCUUGUUUGUUUGGGGUGUUUUUGUCUUUAAAGGAUUCAAAGCUUUGACAGAGCUGGAUUAGCAAUUGUGAUUAGGAGAUGAUUAAAACAUGAACAUUUUUAAGUAAGAAGGCAACAUCUUAUCUGUGUCCAAGAAGAGUUAAUUUAAACUUCCAAAUGACUAAGCAUACUCCAGUGUGUAGGUGUUUCUUUGAGAAGUGCUGUGAGGAUUAUGUUCCCAAGCAGCAAUACCAAGUGAGUGUUUGCCAGCAAAUUUGAAAGUUAAAUGUCAGUGUGGUUUUGUGUAAACCCUCUAAACAGACCUCUGUGAUUGCAUUUGUGCAUUCACGAAUGUGUUAGACUUAUGAAAAUGUAUUCUGCUUAAUGCUUCUGUCAUUCUAAAGUAAGUUAAAAACUCUUUUGCAUAAAUACAAAUGCUGUGAUAUAUCAAAGCUGCAAUAUUAUGAAAUGGCUGCAGUAAAUUGCCAUAGUGAUUUUGGGGAUGUGCUGUUGUUUUUCAGUACCUUUCUUUACAUACUAUUUUAUUCUUAGAUUUAUGUGUUGUUCAGAUAUUAGCUGCAGAACUUUGUUGGCUAUUUGCUGAAGGGUUGGUCAACCUCAGGCAACGUGAUCUUACCAGAAGAGAAGGUUAUGUUUUUUUGAGUUUUUUGCUAUGUUACAUUACUUUUAUGCUCUGAAAAGUCAAUGCUACUGAACUGGAGACUGCAGGAUUUGCAUUUGCUUUUUUGGUUUUGCAUUGAUGAUCAUUUCAUUUUUCCCAAAUAAGAUUAUUCAGAAGGAAAAGAUUAAAAAAACCCCUCUCUUGUUGUGCAUUGCUAGCAAAGCAGAAGGUACGCCCUGCUUCAUCACACUGAAAGAUGAGCUUUUUCAUGCUGUGCUGCAGAGGAUGGCUGUGAACAAGUGCCUUAUGGCCUUAGCAAUUUACUUUUCCUUCCCUAGCCACGUUACGUCAUCUCACAUCUGUAAGAUGGACAGUGCAGAUGAUGUAGCGCAGUCCAGCUGCAGCCAAGAGCAGGCUGCUCAGAGAGGCUGUGAAGUCUCCAUCUGUGGAGAUGCUCAGAACCCCCCUGGAUGCAGUGCAGGACACCUUCUCUCCCUGACCCUGCUUGUUGGCCUUGAUCUCAAGAAGUCCCUUCCAACAGAGAUGAUUCUAUGACACUAAGAUUCAGACUUUUAUGCUAAUUAUUACUAAACAAUUCUGAUUACUCAGAAGCUUUUUGACAUUCUUGUGAGAUCUAGUGCAGACAUUGCUGUCCUGACCUGCAGAGUGUGACUGGUGGCAAGGCCCUGUUCUGGUGUCCUCAUGGUGCCAUUGCUGAGCACGUGUUGGCAAUCUGGGGGCAGACUGAGCAAGAAUACUUUCAGGAAGUUGUGGUGCAUUCCUUCCACUAGAUAGCCUUUCCUUUAGCUGCAAUUUCUUGUAAGAGUACUAUGUACUUAUUUAUUUAUUACAAAAUAACAUUUCUU
rnacentral:lncRNA from 1 species